UACGAAGGGGGCUAGCGUUGCUCGGAAUUACUGGGCGUAAAGGGCGCGUAGGCGGCUCUGUUAGUCAGGCGUGAAAGCCCUCGGCUUAACCGAGGAAGCGCUUUCCAAACUACUGGGCUUGAAUACUGGAGAGGGUCGCGGAAUUCCCGGUGUAGAGGUGAAAUUCGUAGAUAUCGGGAGGAACACCAGUGGCGAAGGCGGCGACCUGGACAGAUAUUGACGCUGAGGUGCGAAAGCGUGGGGAGCGAACAGG
rnacentral:rRNA from 1 species